rnacentral:rRNA from 1 species
GAUGAACGCUGGCGGCGUGCCUAAUACAUGCAAGUCGAGCGAACGGACGAGAAGCUUGCUUCUCUGAUGUUAGCGGCGGACGGGUGAGUAACACGUGGAUAACCUACCUAUAAGACUGGGAUAACUUCGGGAAACCGGAGCUAAUACCGGAUGAUAUUUUGAACCGCAUGGUUCAAAAGUGAAAGACGGUCUUGCUGCCACUUAUAGAUGGAUCCGCGCUGCAUUAGCUAGUUGGUAAGGUAACGGCUUACCAAGGCAACGAUGCAUAGCCGACCUGAGAGGGUGACCGGCCACACUGGAACUGAGACACGGUCCAGACUCCUACGGGAGGCAGCAGUAGGGAAUCUUCCGCAAUGGGCGAAAGCCUGACGGAGCAACGCCGCGUGAGUGAUGAAGGUCUUCGGAUCGUAAAACUCUGUUAUUAGGGAAGAACAGAUGUGUAAGUAACUGUGCACAUCUUGACGUUACCUAAUCAGAAAGCCACGGCUAACUACGUG